GUCUAUUAACUUGGACAAUCUUUGACAUUGACCUC
rnacentral:rRNA from 1 species